ACAUCCAGCGAACUUGGCAGAGAUGCCUUGGUGCCUUCGGGAACGCUGAGACAGGUGCUGCAUGGCUGUCGUCAGCUCGUGUUGUGAAAUGUUGGGUUAAGUCCCGCAACGAGCGCAACCCUUAUCCUUUGUUGCCAGCGAUUCGGUCGGGAACUCAAAGGAGACUGCCGGUGAUAAACCGGAGGAAGGUGGGGAUGACGUCAAGUCAUCAUGGCCUUUACGAGUAGGGCUACACACGUGCUACAAUGGCGCAUACAAAGAGAAGCGACCUCGCGAGAGCAAGCGGACCUCAUAAAGUGCGUCGUAGUCCGGAUCGGAGUCUGCAACUCGACUCCGUGAAGUCGGAAUCGCUAGUAAUCGUGGAUCAGAAUGCCACGGUGAAUACGUUCCCGGGCCUUGUACACACCGCCCGUCACACCAUGGGAGUGGGUUGCAAAAGAAGUAGGUAGCUUAACCUUCGGGAGGGCGCUUACCACUUUGUGAUUCAUGACUGGGGUGAAGUCGUAACAAGGUAAGCGUAGCGAG
rnacentral:rRNA from 1 species